GAACUUUUGAAGAAAUUAAAGGGCGGAUGCAUCUAGAGAAUCUUGCAUUUUUGGUCUAUCUUAGUACAUGUUUCACAUCUCGAGAAUCGUGCAUUUUUUUGAGUCCAUCUUAGUAUCUGUUUGUUCCCCAUAUUCGGUACGGACUUGCCACUUAUUGGACUUUGGUUAUAAAUUUAAAAUUUGGUGUAUGGUUUUCACUGGUUUUUAUAAAAAAUAUCAUUUUUAAGAGAUUUAACAUAAAAACCACACCAAAAUUUUGUUGACAUUGCCAGGGCAUGGUGAAAGUAUACCAAAAUUACUUCUAUUGCCUCUUAGGUAGAAUCUGCAACAUUGUUUAGUAUUCAAGCGGAAUCAUUCUCAUUAAACUUGUAGUCAUUAGUGGAAAUGUUUGUACUUGUUUUUUUUUUUUGUGUGCGUGUGGGUGAGGGAGAGAUUUUAUAUCUGGUAGUUAAUAAGCAUAGGGUUCAACUUAGUUAGUGAAUGUAGGAUUACUUCAUUUUCUUGGGGUGUUUUUAUUUCACCUUUUUUGGCUUGAGUUGUUGAAUUAUUGAGCUUAAAGUGCAAGAAAAGAGAGAUUAGAUGGAUAGAGUAGAAGUCUACUUGUGUUUGAUGGUUUAAUUGAGUGUUUAUUUCUUGAUUUUAUUGCGGCUCAGCAGUGAUAGGUUGUGGAAGAACAAGAUCUUGCAAAGCUGGGAUCCUAAAGUUACUUGCUUGAAAAAUAAAACUGAACUUUUUUCAUACCUUAGUGUAAAUGAGAGAAAGAAGGGUAGAACUGUUUGUGAAUAAUGUGUUAUUAACUAAACUUGCAUAGAUAGUGAAUAAUGGGCGGCUCUUUUUCCUUAGAAUUAGUAUGAUCGUUUUGCAGUUACAGUGGGGUGGGGCUAUAUGUUGAUCAGGCGUCGAGAAUAUUUUCAAGCCAGUCAACUUUGCGCCCCAACUGAAUUUGACAUGUUUACCCUAAUCCAAGGCCACCUUGGUUGAACAGGUAUUUUGGCAGUUAGGUGGUAUUGCCUCUGCAUGGGCCAUUAAAUUUUCGAAGUUGAGGUUAGGAUCUAGACAAGGCACAAAAAAAAUCCUUGAGCAUUAGGGGUACCUUGCAAUUCUACGUGCUUUUCUGAAAAUCAUUACUCAAUAGUUGUACUGCUCUUCCUCAAGUUAAUAUGUUCUUAAUCCACAAUGCAUAUGUCACACUUUCCUUUCACCAAUGAUAUCUGCUCAAUUGUGUUCCUUGAGACUGGGCUUUCAAAGUUCAAAUAUAAGCUAAGCUGUUCUUAUAUGGUGAAGGUUGCUUAUCCUAUUCAACACCGUGUUUGGUCUGCUGCUUUGGCGGAUCUGAAACACGCUCCCCCUUCAAAUAUCUUCAGUUUCAGUGCUAAUAGACUUAAUGAUUUCAUGAUUUCACAUAGUAGAAUACUAAUGAUGCUGAGCUGACCCACAGGUGAUCCUAAUUUAGCGCAGGAAAUUACCUUAUAUCUUCACUUAGAAUGUGAUGUAAAGGUUAGUUAAAAGUCUAAAUAAUUGGAUCUCCAACGAGUAAAAAGAUAAGGACAAGAAAGAGAGCAUAGUGGUGUUCUUAAGAGCAUUAAGAGCAUGAAUUGAUCUCCUGAACCCAUGAACCUCUCAGUAUGCUGCUCUGUAGCAUCAUGGGCAAAAUGUGAUGGCUGAUAAACUUGUAAGCUGUUUCUCGGUGGCAAGGGUGGGCAAAAUGUGAUGGCUGAUAAACUUGUAAGCUGUUUCUCGGUGGCAAUGGAGACUUACUGGUCAUCGGGAUGCACAUUGCCUAGUUGACGUAAUCCAUUGAUGGUUGAGACCUGUGAAGAAGUCCAUUGACCAGGCGACAGAUUGUAGGGUGGCCUGUGAAUGGAAGGCUUAUUGUGUAGAAAACGAACGGUACAACAAAGCAGGAGGUAGGAACUGGAAGUCUGGAACUAUAUUGGUGCACUAGAUGAAUGGUUGAAGGUUGAUUCUUGUGUUGGUGGAGGCAAUCUUUACUGCCUACUAUUUUCAGCGGAGGAGCAAGGAGCGGGAGCUGCCUAGGCAGCGCGCAUACGCCGGCGUUCAACGGCGCCUGUUUCACCCCAAUCACGCUUGUAGCAGGUUCGAUGCUGGGAAGCUGAAACCAGACCUGUUGACCCUGUUAGAAGUCACAGCUUAUGUCAGGCUUAGCGGUGCUUGCUUCCCCCUCAGAUUCGUCUAUCAACAUGGGUUAAAUUCAAUCCUAACCCAUGUGCAAGUGCCGUUCACAUGCAACUGCCCAUGCAAAUUAAUAUUUGGAUCAGACAAGUAGGAAGUAACCUCCUCUGUUUGACUGGAUUGCAUCAUUUUAGAAGUGCAGUACUACGAGAAUCACAGAUGGUUCUGCUGCACCCAAUCAACUUGGUUGAUAGUUUACAAGAUGGCACGUAAACUUGAUAAUCCAAAAAAUGUGGACGGCAACAAAUACUAGUUUAAUAAGUUACAUUUUUGUAAUCAAGUUGGUCAGAAAAUCAUAAUUAGUAAACAUAGCAUUUAAUCCGAUUGGCUUUUACUUUUUAGAAAUAGCUAUUUAUAUGAUAAAACAACAUAGAUACUCUUGUAGGCUUUCAAGCUCAUCCCCUCUCAUAUUCACAACCAAUAACUACACUGGGCACCCAAGAUGUUCUUAGCCACAGUAAAAUAUUUAAUUUUGUCAUCAAUUGUUAACUAAUUUCACAUUUCAAAUAGCUCGUCAGAUUAAUCACUUAUCCUAAUAUAAAGAGAGAAACAGAAAUUGAAUUUAUCAAGAAAUCUUUACAAAAUCAUUAAUAGAUCUGCCAUGUAAGUAAAGAUCAGGGCGUUCUUUAAAUUCUAUAACAAAUGUAUGAAUGACAUCAAGGAUUUGCAUUAUAUGGUCAUUACAAGAGUUUGUGAACAAGUAAAUAAAUUUUGAUCAGAACUGCCUUUACAAUAUUUAGGAGACAUGUAUGUGUUUGUGUUCCAUAACUGCGAACAUGUCAUUACAUAAAUUUGUUAACAAAACUAACAAUGCUUUUACGAAGCCGAGGCAAUCAGUACAGCCUAGGCAUGCCUAGGCUGGACUAAGCACUUUAAGCAAACUAAUAAAAUGACACAGUAAAAUGUUAUUAUAGCUACUCACACAUAUAAACACACAGUUAUAUAAAGGUCGUUAAAAUAAUGCUAAAUGGUUCAAAUAAAUAUACACACAUAAGCACACCAUUUAUUAAUAUACAUACAUACAUAUAUACUGCAUCAUCAAAAGAAUGAAGCACAACCUAGGCAGUUAGAUGAGCCUAGGUAUAAAGGACAUCAUACUUUCUGUUUGUAUGUGUUUGGGUCAUAAAAUACCCAACCCAUGUGUAUUUUAUAUGCAAGAUAUCAGAAACACAUUAAGCUUAAGUUAUGACCGUAUAGAGAACAGCUAUUAUAUAUAUUAAUUAUAUAUAGGAUAUAGUCAUAUUAACAACAAUCUAUCACAGUCCAGAUUUAUAUAAUUUAUGGUCAUACAACAACAAUAAUCACACCCAUCAUGUAGCUUAAGUACUUGGACUUAGGCGAUGCAGAGGUUGUCUAGGUGCACGCCUCAACAACAUAGCACUAAGCAUUACAUAACAUGAUAAUAAUAAACAUAAUUACAAAUCUGAAAGAUCAAAGUUAAUGAAGUUGAACAACUAAAAUUUACAAGUUAUAUAGAACACAAUAAAAGGUCACAAGUAUACAUCAAUGCUUUUCAAUGUUAUAGAGCAUGCCAAGUGCUAAAACUAUAAUUAUAAUUUCUAAGCUAAAAUUUUAAAAACAAAAUCCAAAAUUAAUAAAAUACCUACAAAAAGAGGGAACAUAAAAGUGCAACAUAACCAUCCUUUAUACUUGCUAUAAAUUUGUCUAUAUAUAUAUAUAUAUAUAUAUGGUAAAGCUGUAUUUUGUCUAUAUAUAUAUAUAUGGUAAAGCUGUAUUAUUGAAAAAAUGUCGGCAAAUUUUUAAAAAAAAUUAAAACAUUUAAUAAAUUCUGAAAUUUAUAAAAAAUAAAAAUAAUAAAAUACGAAAAAACAAGAAAAAAUGUGUAUAAUACGUGUAUAAUAUGCUUUUUUCAUGUUUUUUUAUUUUUCGGCGUUUUUUAAAAAAAGACACUUCUGACUGCCGUUUUAUAUGACUGACUUAUUUCACGCAUAUUAUAAGCAUUUUUUUCGAAUGAUACGCAUUUUAUGUGGCAAUGACAUAUAUAAUGCAAUAGUUAUGUUAUUAAAUUUUAUUAAGAAGAAAUUAUUUGCAUUAUUAUUUAUGUUAAAUAAUAAGAAAUUAACAUAAAAUUAUUAAUUUUAUGUUACUAACAUAUGUUAUUAAUCACAGUAAAAUAGGCAGAACGGGUUAAAAAUAGUAUUGUAUGUGAAUUUUAAUUUUUUACCUUUAAGUGAGCAUACAGACAUACACACGCAAUGCUAAUCUAAUGCAACAACAAAAAGUGAAAAAUAACUGCAUGAAAUAAAGAAAAUCUCAGAAGAAUAAAACGGGAAAUAAAUUAAAUGAAGUAGGUUAUUGAAAAAACAUAGGCCAUUGAGUGCCUACUCCUUAGGCUUAAUUUCUACGCAUUCUACAAUGGAAGAUUGUCUAGAAACAGCUAGCCUACGCCACCAACCAAGCCUGGGGGCAUAGGCAGCCUUAUAUAUACUAUUGAAAAAUGCCCAUGCUUCAAAGACUAAAAAGGUGAAAUACUUACAGCAAC